AUACGUAGGGUGCAAGCGUUAAUCGGAAUUACUGGGCGUAAAGCGUGCGCAGGCGGUUUUGUAAGACAGUGGUGAAAUCCCCGGGCUCAACCUGGGAACUGCCAUUGUGACUGCAAGGCUGGAGUGCGGCAGAGGGGGAUGGAAUUCCGCGUGUAGCAGUGAAAUGCGUAGAUAUGCGGAGGAACACCGAUGGCGAAGGCAAUCCCCUGGGACUGCACUGACGCUCAUGCACGAAAGCGUGGGGAGCAAACAGGAUUAGAUACCCUGGUAGUCCACGCCCUAAACGAUGUCAACUGGUUGUUGGGGAUUUAUUUUCUCAGUAACGAAGCUAACGCGUGAAGUUGACCGCCUGGGGAGUACGGCCGCAAGGUUAAAACUCAAAUGAAUUGACGGGG
rnacentral:rRNA from 1 species